rnacentral:rRNA from 1 species
UACGGAGGGUGCAAGCGUUAAUCGGAAUUACUGGGCGUAAAGCGUGCGCAGGCGGUUUGUUAAGUCUGUUGUGAAAUCCCCGAGCUCAACUUGGGAAUUGCAAUGGAUACUGGCAGGCUGGAGUAUGGUAGAGGAAGGUGGAAUUCCCGGUGUAGCAGUGAAAUGCGUAGAGAUCGGGAGGAACACCAGUGGCGAAGGCGGGUCUCUGGGCCGAUACUGACGCUGAGGAGCGAAAGCGUGGGGAGCGAACAGG